rnacentral:rRNA from 1 species
AUUGAACGCUGGCGGCAGGCCUAACACAUGCAAGUCGAACGGCAGCACAGAAGAGCUUGCUCUUUGGGUGGCGAGUGGCGGACGGGUGAGUAAUGUCUGGGAAACUGCCCGAUGGAGGGGGAUAACUACUGGAAACGGUAGCUAAUACCGCAUAACGUCGCGAGACCAAAGUGGGGGACCUUCGGGCCUCACACCAUCGGAUGUGCCCAGAUGGGAUUAGCUAGUAGGUGGGGUAAUGGCUCACCUAGGCGACGAUCCCUAGCUGGUCUGAGAGGAUGGCCAGCCACACUGGAACUGAGACACGGUCCAGACUCCUACGGGAGGCAGCAGUGGGGAAUAUUGCACAAUGGGCGAAAGCCUGAUGCAGCCAUGCCGCGUGUAUGAAGAAGGCCUUCGGGUUGUAAAGUACUUUCAGCGGGGAGGAUGGCGGUGAGGUUAAUAACCUUGCCGAUUGACGUUACCCGCAGAAGAAGCACCGGCUAACUCCGUGCCAGCCGCCGCGGUAA